rnacentral:lncRNA from 1 species
AUUUUGUAUAUCUUUUUGUUAUGUACCGUGUUUUUUCCUCUUCUUUAAUUUUAAAAAGAUUUUUCUGGUUUUUUUAAUAUUCUUAACUAGGCUAGUCAAAAUAGGGAAAAAUCGUAGCGCGGCCGAAUUAAUUACUUUUUGAAACUAUCCGUGUUGGGAAUUGGCCAACGGUAGGCAAAUUAGACUUUACUGGCCCAUGGCCGAGUGCUGGGUCCACAUAUGGCGCGUAUUUCUCGAAAUGUUGGAGUUUCACGCCCCCGAGCGAAUUUUAGGGUAUAAAGUUUCAAAGAAAAUAUAGCCGAGACCGAGCCAGUAGACCAACCACGAGUUGGCCUAUCUGGCGACGAGAUGGAAUGUUGAGCUCCGAAGAGGCCAACAUGGGUGAACGUCACGCAGACGUUCUUUUUGCUCGACUGAUUUACCGAUCUGGAGUCUGAUGUACGCUACUGUAAAUUACUGUAGUUUGUUAAACACGCGUCUGACACCGGUGGCUGUUUUCGCCUCGACUAGCCCCUAGAAAAUCCAAAAAAAGUUAGUGGAGAACGGUUCCCGGUCGUCGGUACCCGUUGUCAUCCUCGAAAUUUUUAUCGCUCGGAGUUUCUCGUUAACACGAAUACUGUUUGUUUAUAUCUUUAGAUUUCCCGAACGGGAAACCGUGUAGUAACGCUUUAUUUACGAGGUAGAAACCAACCCGUGUACUAUAAAUUCGUCUAGAUAGAAAAGCGUGUGUUUUUAUGUACCAUGGAAUAUUAUGGGGGUCGAAUUGGAACACCGAGAGUGGUGAUUCCAAAGAAGUUGCGGGUGUGGCCGAGUUUACCAGUUAAUACAGACGUGGAAAGCGAUUAAUCAAUGCGGUAAUUGUGUGGAGUGUCCGCAGUGUCACCACUCCUAUUUUACUCGGGGGACAUCUGGAACCGGUUCUGUGAGUCUGCCGACACCUUCCCCAUCUUCUCUGUCACACUUAUUCUCGAUGAAUGAUGGCCGAAAUUACUGGAUGUUGGAAUUUCCAGCGUUAGAAGCCGUGCCGGCUUUUUUUUCCUAUCCAGGAAACGUCUACUUUGAUUAUCGACGAAAAAUUCUGAGAGGUGAGGUGAAUGAUAGGAGUAAAUCGGGAUACUAUGUUGUCGAAAUUUCCACUCUCCUCUUACAGAUAGAAUAUUUUUGCUUAGCCACGGCAUGUUACAAGGUGAAAAAUAAUAGUGAAGCCGGCAAUAAAAAUACCAGUCGAGUGAUUGGUUAAUCGCCUACCAGGAAAUGUUUUUGGAAGAUUUUUAUCUAUCUAUCUACUGCCGAGAAGGAAAAUGCGGAUGGCCAUUCGAAAUAUCCAUCGACACUGUUUCCAAAAAUUCUUAGGUGAUCUUUAACUUGUUUAAGUUUAAGUGGAUUGGCGUGACGGUAUACGGUUAUCGAGUAAAAAGUUUGAAAUGUUGGCAUUAACUAAAAAUGAAAAUUAUCGGUUGUAUGGAGCGUUGUUUUUAUGGUGGGACUAACGAAUUUCUUUCACCGUGGCUGUUGACACCGGAAGGUUUAGUUAGUCUCAUCCAAACUCUACUGAUAUAAUUUUUCUUGGUAACUAAGUAAAUUUUGGCAAACAGUUUUAACCAAGCCACGAUCGUCUUUACCGAAAUCGCUUAAAAAAUAAGAAGCUCGGCUACAGUUCUUAAAUCAGUUUAUCUAUGGAAUUCUGUUAUUCGACUUAUCUUUUUACAUUACAUCCAAUUUGUCAGUUAUUUUCGAAAUGCGUCUGAAGUAAGUUACCUUCUGGUUGGUCAUUUGCAUCCCUUAUCUGCAUUUCCUCUCGACGAUAGAUGCAAAUUACCCCGUAAAUGCUGUUUAGACUCUUAUUUGAAUAAGAAAAUUGAUAAAAAUUGAAUUUUUGCCAAUUUUCCCAUUCAUUGACUUCCAAAAUCAUUUUCCGGCAUGGUAUUAAAAUUGAAA